rnacentral:rRNA from 1 species
GAUGAACGCUAGCGGGAGGCCUAACACAUGCAAGCCGAGCGGUAUUUGUUCUUCGGAACAGAGAGAGCGGCGCACGGGUGCGGAACACGUGUGCAACCUGCCUUUAUCUGGGGGAUAGCCUUUCGAAAGGAAGAUUAAUACCCCAUAAUAUGUUGAGUGGCAUCAUUUGAUAUUGAAAACUCCGGUGGAUAGAGAUGGGCACGCGCAAGAUUAGAUAGUUGGUGAGGUAACGGCUCACCAAGUCAAUGAUCUUUAGGGGGCCUGAGAGGGUGAUCCCCCACACUGGUACUGAGACACGGACCAGACUCCUACGGGAGGCAGCAGUGAGGAAUAUUGGACAAUGGGUUAGCGCCUGAUCCAGCCAUCCCGCGUGAAGGACGACGGCCCUAUGGGUUGUAAACUUCUUUUGUAUAGGGAUAAACCUACUCUCGUGAGAGUAGCUGAAGGUACUAUACGAAUAAGCACCGGCUAACUCCGUG